GACUCCGGACUCACCACCGCCACCUCCAUCGU
rnacentral:scRNA from 1 species